rnacentral:rRNA from 1 species
GACGAACGCUGGCGGCGUGCCUAAUACAUGCAAGUUGAGCGCUGAAGGUUGGUACUUGUACCAACUGGAUGAGCAGCGAACGGGUGAGUAACGCGUGGGGAAUCUGCCUUUGAGCGGGGGACAACAUUUGGAAACGAAUGCUAAUACCGCAUAAAAACUUUAAACACAAGUUUUAAGUUUGAAAGAUGCAAUUGCAUCACUCAAAGAUGAUCCCGCGUUGUAUUAGCUAGUUGGUGAGGUAAAGGCUCACCAAGGCGAUGAUACAUAGCCGACCUGAGAGGGUGAUCGGCCACAUUGGGACUGAGACACGGCCCAAACUACUACGGGAGGCAGCAGUAGGGAAUCUUCGGCAAUGGACGAAAGUCUGACCGAGCAACGCCGCGUGAGUGAAGAAGGGUUUCGGAUCGUAAAACUCUGUUGGUAGAGAAGAACGUUGGUGAGAGUGGAAAGCUCAUCAAGUGACGGUAACUACCCAGAAAGGGACGGCUAACUACGUG